AUCUACAGCCAUGCUGCUACCCUGAACAAGCCUGAUCCCGUCUGAUCUCGGAAGCUAAGCAGGGUCGGGCCUGGUUAGUACUUGGAUGGGAGACCACCUAGGAAGACCAGGUGCUGUAGCUG
rnacentral:rRNA from 1 species